rnacentral:rRNA from 1 species
GACGAACGCUGGCGGCGUGCUUAACACAUGCAAGUCGAACGAAGAGCGACGGAAGCUUGCUUCUAUCAAUCUUAGUGGCGAACGGGUGAGUAACGCGUAAUCAACCUGCCCUUCAGAGGGGGACAACAGUUGGAAACGACUGCUAAUACCGCAUACGAUCUAACCUCGGCAUCGAGGAUAGAUGAAAGGUGGCCUCUACAUGUAAGCUAUCACUGAAGGAGGGGAUUGCGUCUGAUUAGCUAGUUGGAGGGGUAACGGCCCACCAAGGCGAUAAUCAGUAGCCGGUCUGAGAGGAUGAACGGCCACAUUGGGACUGAGACACGGCCCAGACUCCUACGGGAGGCAGCAGUGGGGAAUCUUCCGCAAUGGACGAAAGUCUGACGGAGCAACGCCGCGUGAGUGAUGACGGCCUUCGGGUUGUAAAGCUCUGUUAAUCGGGACGAAAGGCCUUCUUGCGAAUAGUGAGAAGGAUUGACGGUACCGGAAUAGAAAGCCACGGCUAACUACGUG